rnacentral:misc_RNA from 1 species
AGAAGUGUUGAGAGAUGCUCAGUUGGUAUGACCGCUAGUUACUAAAAGGUUACUAGGGUUAUGUUGGUACGACUCCUCACGACGCUCUUUUGUCUUAGGAGUCGACCACGUGUUAAUUGCUAAGACGCAUUGGGAGAGAUUAGACGUUUGCUGUGUGAUUUGGUGUUUUGUACAAGAGAGAAAAUAAAAGGUGUGAUAACCAAUCCGAGUGGAUCAGCUUGAUUAUCAACCCCAACCU